rnacentral:rRNA from 1 species
GACGAACGCUGGCGGCGUGCUUAACACAUGCAAGUCGAGCGGAAAGGCCCUUCGGGGUACUCGAGCGGCGAACGGGUGAGUAACACGUGAGUAAUCUGCCCUUGGCUUUGGGAUAACUACCGGAAACGGUGGCUAAUACCGGAUACGACAACCGUCUGCAUGGGCUGGUUGUGGAAAGUUUUUUCGGCCAGGGAUGUGCUCGCGGCCUAUCAGCUUGUUGGUGGGGUAAUGGCCUACCAAGGCUUCGACGGGUAGCCGGCCUGAGAGGGUGACCGGCCACACUGGGACUGAGACACGGCCCAGACUCCUACGGGAGGCAGCAGUGGGGAAAAUUGGACAAUGGGCGGAAGCCUGAUCCAGCAACGCCGCGUGAGGGAUGACGGCCUUCGGGUUGUAAACCUCUUUCAGUACCGACGAAGCGCCGAUGAUGGUGGUGACGGUAGGUACAGAAGAAGCACCGGCCAACUACGUGC